AAUUAGUGCACUUGACAAUUUGUCUUGUUUUCAUAAAAAGAUUCCGCGGCUCGUAUUCCUAGAAUACUAUGAUUUUCGAUUUCUGGGGAAGAAAUCAAGUCUGGAUCCAAAUUUUGUGGACCGAAAUGGAAUAAUAGUCGAGAAAUAGAAAUGAAGUUUUAUUCCCCAAACCUUUCUAUUAUGGCUGGUCGGUGUGCAUCACGAUGAUGGUUUUGGUUUCCACUCCAAUCAAAGUCAUUAUGACUCACUUUUGUACCAAAGUUGAUUACUUUGUUUAGACACUUGUUCUUGUUAUACAGCAAAUUGCCCGCUUUCAGUAUUUUUGCCUUUAUAUAUAUAUAUUUUUUAAUUUACAUAACUUUUAUACAUUUUUACAGCAUAAAACGUGUGUAAAACCAAAUAGACGUCGAGAUUUACCAUAAAAAAACUGUUAUGACUUCAAUAAUUGGAAUCAGAUUGACUUUGGUUGUUGCUGUACUUCUGUGUAUGCUCCUGAGCUAUCGAUCUCAUGCUCAAUUGAUCGAAAUAAAGCACACGGAGCCAUCUUCCGCUUGCGAGUCCGGAGACGAUAUCAAAAAACUCUACGCUUUCAAAAACUCCACGCUCAAAGUUCAAGGAACCAAAUGCAAAUCCACAAUAGAAAACUGCAAAUCCAUUAAAGUGGAUGUUUCUCUUGGGAAUGAUUCUGAGAUGAUCGAAAUAUGCCUUGGCACCAGGCUGGAACAAGUGUGCAAAUUCAGAUAAACGCAAAAUAAUGUUUCUGUGAUUCAAUUACAUAGCCUUGCAAUUCUAUUUUACUUUCUAUUUAUAAUUUAUACUUUAAUAAUAAUUUGUUUCAUCCUUGACUUUGGCAAUCAUGUGAUCAACAAACAGCACUCGCACGUUUACCGGCACUUUGGUAUUACUACUUGUUUUAUCGUUUUUGGCCAAGUUGAGGCUUUACGUUUAUGAUAUCUAAACAAAUUUGUAUCGUUUGUCGAAGAUUUUGUAGUACGUAUACCAGGUUAGAGUUAGGCCAUAAUUUUAUUACGAUUUUCCUUAUUUUAGUUCUAUUACUUCGAAUUAGGCUUUACAUUUAGGAAUAUAUCUGGUCACAUAGGAAACACCUAAUUCGAUCUAAAAACCUAUAGCGCAGUAUUUACCAACCUCUGGGUCGCGACCCAAAACUGGGUCGCCUGAAAAUCUUUUUGGGUCUCUUGUGUUUUCAUCCCAAAUCUAAAAGUUAUUGAUUCUACAUUUUAGUAAAUUUUAUUGAUUCUUUCAUAUUUGGUAUUCAAGUUUUGCUUAAAAAUAAUUGUAUACAUUAAAGGAACACAGGAUAAAAAACUUGUUGAUGGCAAACCAGCGUACCUUCCUCAUUCUGAAGUAAUUUCUGGGAAAAUAAUUGUUCAUGUAAAAAUGACUGUUUCAAGAUUUAAGUUAUUUAAUUUUUUCACCAUAAAAGCCCUACAUUACUAUUUGAGCAUAUUUUGGGUCGCGAGACCAAACCAUUUUUUUUUUCUUCCAAAUUCGGAUCGCUUGAGAAAAAUGGUUGGGAACCACUGCUCAAGUAUAUAGUUAAUCAGGCAAUUGUUCCAUCAGUCUGAUUUUAUAACCCUGAAAAUAUUAUAUUCAUAUUUGUGUCAUUCGAUAUUUCCUAACUAACGACAGUAGAACUAUCAUAUCAUUAAUUACAUUUAGACUGCGAUAUCACGUGACCUUUAUAGCGUUGUCACUAAAAAAAAUUGUUACGUUCUUAUGCUUUAGCAAUUUACUUUUUUCAAUGUAGAAGCUUGUUGCAAUUUUCUCUAUUAUUUUUUUUGCUGAUGAUAUAUACUAGAAUAAAGAUGAUGUAAUAAGCUA